rnacentral:rRNA from 1 species
AUAUCAAUAGGCGGAGGAAAAGAAACUAACAAGGAUUCCCUUAGUAGCGGCGAGCGAAGCGGGAAGAGCUCAAAUUUGAAAGCUGGCAUCCUCUGGGUGUCCGCGUUGUAAUCUAUAGAGGCGUUUUCCGUGCUGGACCGUGUCCAAGUCCCUUGGAACAGGGUAUCAAAGAGGGUGACAAUCCCGUACUUGACACGAUGACCGGUGCUCUGUGAUACGUCUUCUACGAGUCGAGUUGUUUGGGAAUGCAGCUCAAAAUGGGUGGUAAAUUCCAUCUAAAGCUAAAUAUUGGCGAGAGACCGAUAGCGAACAAGUACCGUGAGGGAAAGAUGAAAAGAACUUUGGAAAGAGAGUUAAACAGUACGUGAAAUUGCUGAAAGGGAAACGCUUGAAGUCAGUCGCGUUGUCCAGGGAUCAACCUUGCUUUUGCUUGGUGCACUUUCUGGUUGACGGGUCAGCAUCAAUUUUGACCAUUGGAAAAAGAUUAGGGGAAUGUGACAUCUUAGGAUGUGUUAUAGCCCUUGGUUGCAUACAAUGGUUGGGAUUGAGGAAUUCAGCACGCCGCAAGGCCGGGUUUUCAACCACGUUCGUGCUUAGGAUGCUGGCAUAAUGGCUUUAAUCGA